rnacentral:rRNA from 1 species
AUGCCCAAUGGGGCGCAGGCACCGACUGAGGAGGAGGAAGGAAGUGGAGGUGAAAGUCAAGAGGAGUGGGAAUCGGAUGGCGAUGAGGGUGAUGAAGAUGGUGAUUCCGACGAGGAAGAGGAGGAGGAAUUCACGCCUCCCCGUUCUGAAAGGAGAUCCAAGCUUGUCCAUGACCCUGCAGUCGAACAUGGCAAGGGGACUGCGCCUGUUGUACAGUCGACCAAGCGUCCUCGGGCGACCUCUCCGGCACCGACUAAGAAAGCGCCGAAGCAAUCUCGAGUGGCGCCGUCAAAGCCGACGAAGGCCUUGCCGAAGAUGAAGAUGGCGAUUCCCACUAUUUCUGGGUAA